AGUUGAUGUCCAUCGUCCGUUCGUUAUCGUUACCUUUACCGUAACCGUUUUCAUCUGACAUCUUGUGUCAAUAUAACUAGUGUAAUAUUCUAAACUAGAUAAAGUUUUUUUUUUUUUUUUUUUUUAAUAAUAAAUAAAUUUGUUACGUUUUUGGUUUUUUAAUGAAAAAUGUAAAACUUCAGGGGUGGUUUCCGGUGACAAUGUGAAUAUCGUAUCCUUGGAGCAUUAUAGAGGUCAAAAAUAAGAAUUUUCCAGUAGUUAUCAAAAAAUCGGGAAAAACAAAAAAAAGAUUGGUGUAUUUCAUAGAAUUUUUAAUCAUUCAAUGCAUUGAAAAAUUUUAAAUUCUGAGUCGAGUGAUCAUCUUUUUUAUGUGGCUGUAACAUAUUCUAGAGACGUCUUCUAAGAACUACCAAGAAUAGUAUGCAUGUAAUAGUGUCUCUCGAUAUAUUCUCUACUAUGUACAAUGAUUACAAUUUUUUAUUUAACGAUGAGUAGCGACGGAUAGACCAAGUCAUACUUUGAACUUUAAAGUACAGUAAUUAAUAACGGUGACUACUGACUAUAUGACAUUUGGAAUUUGCAUAAUUAUAAUGUUUUAAUCGUCAUAUUAGGUAUACUGCAGCUAUAUGAUACCGGUGUUGGCGUUUAGUUUGGCGAAUGAUAAUUAAUAGGUAAUAUUAAACUAUAAAUGAAGAGCGUUAUGACUGUUGAACGUAGUUUUAUGAAGACCAUAAAAGGAUUCGAGCAAUUGAACACAAUAUAUCAUCUCGUGUAUACAACUAUACUACAACUACUAUGGCUAUACUAUAGUCGAUCUCCAUCGAUUCGCCUCGGACCGAACUAUUUCUGUACGAGUGCGUGAAAAACAUCAUAUUGUGCAGUACGCGCAUACGACGACGAUGGCAUUCGACACGAAGUGCAGUACAACACGGUAACUGAUUCUAUUCAUCAUACCAAACACGUAAAUCAUCACCUGCAGGAGGCUGGACACCGCUCAUUUGGAAUUUUCGAAAACUGUUGACCAACAGUACAACAACGAUCCGUAACUUGGGUAAAACAUUAUUUGUCUUCGUGUUUCUUCUGUGAUGUUAUAUAAGCGUCAAAUGAAAGUAUUCGUUCUCGGAAAUCGACUUGUUCGGUGUCUCAAUCACUGCUGUACCUCGGAUAAUCGGUGUUUACUACAGAUUAAAAGCUUACGGUGAUUAUUCAUCGACUAAUGUCCUAACGAAUCUUCGGAGCAAACGUUCGGCGAGGUAGUUAUAAAAUGCAUUAAAUCGCCCCAACAGGCAACAACCUAAUGUGUUUGUCAGGUCAUCGUCAUAUAAAUGUAAUCGUGGUAAUAAUGGGACCACGAUUUCCAUAAUAUUUUCUCCGAUAAACAGUGUACACGGGCGAGACCAUCCUGUAAUCUUAUUAUCGCGUUCGAUCUAAAAAAAAAAAAAAAAAGACAAAAGGACCAGUUCUCGGGGCCGCUCAUUAACAAGCGCGUGCUGCUGCUGCAGGGGUAUCAUUACAAAGAUUUAUUAAAGGAAGUUGAAGCCACAGUGACAAGAUAGAUCGUAGUUGUUCACAAUGACAUGUACCCAAGCUUAGUUAAAUACAUGCGGCCUGCAGUGCAGUGUAAAGAUUUGUUGAAUUUAUUAAUACCUAAGGAUUAACAAGAUAAAUCAUCUUUAUUUUAUGCUAAAAUAAACACCGUUUUAAUACGAAAAAAAAUAAACUAUUUUAUCCAAUUAAUUGCAUACACUCAUAAAUUGCAUGAUUAAAAACGCAAUCUAUGCCAUUGUCCAUUAUGAUUAAUUUUGUUUAAAACUUUAUCUUUAUAAAAUAUAUUUUAAAUAACUAGGUAUUAUAUUGUGUAGAGAUUGACCUUAAUACGAUGUGUAUAUAAGUAAUGAAAAAAUCAAUAAAUGCGAAUUUAUUGCGACUUAUGAAUUACUGAUUAUACAGACAUAAUUAUCAUAGAUUUCACUCCACGCAAUGGUUAACCAUAUUAUGAAAAAAACUGCAGUACAUAUAAGUAACAGUACACGGUUAAUUGUACUGGCCACUGGUAUAGUCAUAGGUAUACUUGGUAUAAUUUUAAUUUGCUAUUUAUCUAUUAAUAUUUAUAGUAAAAUAUAGUAUAAUACUAUGUAUAUUUUUGCAAUAUUAAAUUGAAAAAAAAUAGUGUGCAAAAGAAU